GUUUGUUGAUCAAUCUUGGUUUACCGAAGUUAAACAACCCGCGAUGAUGAGAAAGAACGUUACAAAAGCCCUGAUCGGUGGAGGGUGUGGGUACCACUGCUAUUGGGGUGAGAGGCUACGGUAGGUCUGGUCCGACGUUCGGAGGAGGUCGAUUUCGCUAGGAAAAGGAAGAAGGCGAUGGGGUCGCGGGAGCUGAGUACCGUCCUACCGUGACUAACGACAGAAACCCUUCCACAACCGACGUCGUUGAGGAGACCGAUACAGUGACGAGAUCUCGAAUCGCCGGCACCGAACAUGUCAGUUCCGGAACUGGGACGUUAGAAGUUGGAGUGGAGCGAGGUUGAUGAGCUGGAAUCGGACUUGUUAAAACCGGUCACGUUAGAGGGCCGUUGGCCCAAACUCUCCGAGAGGAACGAGUGGGUGGAGUUGGAGAGGUGAAGCCCGAAGGUUCCGGUCUAUGGAUAACCGUAGCCGUUUGAACGUUUGGAAUAGAGGAACCUAGAAAGACAAGAGAUGAUACGGCGAAGACUACUAAGAGAAUUACCGGUACCGUGGUCGUAUGGACCGCAAUGAUCAACCGAUACAAACGUCCUUGGGUUGAAAGUCUAGGAUCAACCGUUGGAGUUGUUAGACUCUCUCGAGAUGGAGCUACCUCACCUAUACAGAUGGUCGCGGCUACUAACCACGCUACGUAAACGAUUAAGAGAAGGCUUAGAGGCUCAAGAAUCAAACUCUAUAACAUUAGAACAACCAGGAUAAACGGGCAGGAACAGCUGGGACGUGAGGGAUCGACACUAGUCAGAGGUUCUAUUGAAACUAUGCAGACGGUGAGGGGGAGCCCUCUACGAGUACAUAAGAAUGUUAAAUUCAAAAGAAGUCGAACGAACCUGUUUAUAGGUUGCGCCCAAGGGAUCAUCUUAGUAGGUUAUGUUUUUGAUUCCAGGAAGUAAACAAACCCUGUACCAGAGAGUCCAAUACACGGUUAUAAAAGGUAGAUUAAUUUCCCUUGACGUACAAAAGGACCUUCCCAAGAUAGGGACUCCAUGACUCUACAUUAUGCUGAAGAUGUAUAUGUAAUGAAAAUGAAGACUUCAAUUGUAAACAAGGCAUAACAUCUUGCGUAUAUACGUUAAGAUAGUACAGACGGAAUGCUGCUGAAUAGACAUCAUAUACUACAACAAACCGGAUCUACCGACCUACAUGAUCGAGACCUUGUAUUGGUACUACUACAUUAAGCAAUUAACAAAGUCCACGAUAACGCUGUACUUACGUUAUUCAGUAUAACGUCUCAACAAUAAAGAGACAGGAAGUAUAGCAACGUUUUUACUUUGGUCGUAUCGACUACGUCUCAACACUUAACACUCGAACGGCCUUCCGACUGUUUGGACUUACGACAUGCCGCCCGCGUGUCCGUCACGCAGGACCCCGUUUUCGGACACUAGGUUGACGGAGCCGAACGACGACGAGAGCUCACCUUCGCUUGACGACCGACCUUCUACCACACCUACUAAUUGUCAACGCGUUAGGGAGACGGAACGCGACUGUCGGCACAGUCGGGUCGCUACCUUUAACGCAGUACUCCCUCUUUGUACUUAGGUGUAAACGGACGACUUCUGCUUCGCGAGCCUCUGCUACUAGCAACGACCAUAGGUCGUACCCGAGGCACUAUCGGUGGUUAAACAAACCCUACCCAGUACGCACAGUACACAUCCUUGAUCCUUGGUCACACAAGUCAAGGUAAAUAAUGUAACCUCCACACACCUUAAAUACUUUGGACUUGGAAGGGAUUAACGACGCUAUCGGGAAUCGACAUAUCGUCGUAGAUUUAAACGGACUUCAUUUUACGAC
rnacentral:rRNA from 1 species